CCCCCAAUGGGUUGUGAUAAUUAUAACAUAGGUCGGAGCCCAAUUUAACGGCAGCCGACGCGUCGUUAGUACAAUACAACCUUCCCUCCCACUUCACCGCAGCCAAUCUUGAAGAAAUUCCGACAAACUCCCGACGACUACGGCUAUCAUCGCUCUGUUAUUUUACCACUCUGCUCUCUAUUAAGGUGGUGUUGUUUCUUUCGUUUCUGAAUUAUCUUUAACAUCCGAUGCAGAUUACAGAAACAUGGCUUUGCUUGCUUCGAAUUUGUUCCAACCGAUUGAAUUCUUUUCGCUUUUGGACGACUUGGGCGUUUUGUUUCUUAUCUGUACCAAUAAUGUGCUAUAUGAGCUUGAUCGGAAGUUGUAGCCAUGACUCCUGAAUACUAAUGUUGUUUUCACUUUUCUUCGAGCUAAUUAGGUUAUAUGGUUAUUUUCUGUGUUUGUUCUUGUUCUGUGCUUCCGCACUUCUUGUAAUUAGGGAAAAACUUCAUUCUGAAGUCUAAUAUUUUUGCAUAGCAUUGCACGCACCUUGACCAUUAUCACAGUACAAUUGUUUCACAGUAGUGAAAUUUGGUGCUGCUUCCAGUCAAAUUUCAGGAUACGCUUGAAUGGAAGCUAAAGUCUCAGAUGAUCUUCAGAUUAUUGGUACAGUUUUAGAGGACCAAGAUUACUUGGAGAAGAUAACCACGUUACAGGGUUACCUCGAUGAGGUGAAGAAGAUUGUGAGCGAAAGCUGUUCCCAAGAGGUUUUAGAAGUGGCGUUGAGCUCCAUCUCCUCCCUAAUUACCGUCCUCUCCUCCAUGUCAUCGUCUACCAAACUCCAUUCUUCACUUUGAUUUUGGAAUAUCUUCAACCCACCUUCUUCUUCCCUUCUAUUUCCUAUCAAAUGCUUGUAGAUGGGGUGACCUUCAAAACAUGUAUAAUGUGAAUAUUUACUGGUGUAAAUAAUAAGACAUGUUGUAUUCUUGUUUGUUUCUCUUUGCUCAUCUGUGUUCUGUUAAUAGCAGAGAAAAGCUUACGAGCAUAAAGAUGUAGAAUUUUCGGAAAUUCAGAUGGAUUUUGUAAUAUUUUUCUGUCUAUGUAAAUUCGUUGAGAUAAAUUGUAAA